rnacentral:rRNA from 1 species
GACGAACGCUGGCGGCGUGCUUAACACAUGCAAGUCGAGCGGUAAGGCCCUUUCGGGGGUACGACGAGCGGCGAACGGGUGAGUAACACGUGGGUGACCUGCCCUCAGCUCUGGGAUAAGCCUGGGAAACCGGGUCUAAUACUGGAUAUGACUCCAUGACGCAUGUUGUGGGGUGGAAAGCCUUGUGCGGCUGAGGAUGGGCCCGCGGCCUAUCAGCUUGUUGGUGGGGUGACGGCCUACCAAGGCGACGACGGGUAGCCGGCCUGAGAGGGCGACCGGCCGACACUGGGACUGAGACACGGCCCAGACUCCUACGGGAGGCAGCAGUGGGGAAUCUUGCGCAAUGGGCGAAAGCCUGACGCAGCGACGCCGCGUGAGGGAUGACGG